UCAUUUCGUCAUUUUUCGAUUUU
rnacentral:snRNA from 1 species